ACCUACGGGGGGCAGCAGUAGGGAAUCUUCCACAAUGGACGAAAGUCUGAUGGAGCAACGCCGCGUGAGUGAAGAAGGGUUUCGGCUCGUAAAGCUCUGUUGGUAGUGAAGAAAGAUAGAGGUAGUAACUGGCCUUUAUUUGACGGUAAUUACUUAGAAAGUCACGGCUAACUACGUGCCAGCAGCCGCGGUAAUAAGUAGGUGGCCAGCGUUAUCCGGAGUCACUGUGCGUAAAGGGAGCGCAGGCGGCACGGCCAGUCUGGUGUGAAA
rnacentral:rRNA from 1 species